GAACAGGUGCGGCUCACAGAGGAGGCAGCGCCAGCUGGGAGCUGGUGUGUUAUUACUGAUCUGUGUCAUAGUUGGCUCAGAUGAACCUUCCUCCCAUUUCACAGAUGAAGAAACUGAGUUUCCAAAUGCUGGAAUGACUUGCCCAACUCACAGAUGUAGUAAAUGACAGAACAGAGGCUCCAACCUCUGCUUUCAGAACCAGACCUAGAACCUUAUCCCAAAUCACUUCCCAAACAGUUCUCACCCCUCAGUAACCUAAAUGUGUCAAGGGACCAGGGCAAGUGACAAGAGGCGGCAUUUACUGGGCGCUUACUGUGUGCCUGUUCUAAGCCCUGUACUUGUAUUAUUAGCUCAUGUAAUCUCAACCACCCUAAUGUGGGUCUUACGAUUAUCCCCAGUUUACAGACGGGAAACUGAGGCACAGAUGGCUUGAGCCACCCCCAAAGGUCACAAUGCCACUAAGAAGCUGGAACAGGAAUNNNNNNNNNNNNNNNNNNNNNNNNNNNNNNNNNNNNNNNNNNNNNNNNNNNNNNNNNNNNNNGAGGUUAUAUAGAGGUCCAUCAUCCAGAGCCAGGAGUCAGGGCUGGAGGGCGCAGACACGGAAUCCAAGCGUGAGGAUCUCCCCUGGAACCUCGCUCUCUGCUUGCCUGUGGGUCGGGGGAUUCAGAAAUGGGAGGGGCAGGGGGCACCCUGACCCGGUCAAGGUUAAGCUGCGCCUGGCUAGUCCCAGGGGCCUGGGAAGCCACACGGCGGCCCGCUUCAUCAGCGACUUGGCCGCCGGCCUGCUGCGCUGGAGCGCAAGGUGGGGCUCAGAGGCCGGCCCUUCCUGGGCCUGGAUGCUCCUCCCAGCUCCAAUAUCCUCCCAAGAGACUGGUCCCCAAUCCAUCCCCUCCCUCACCCACCUCCGCGCAGCCGGGCUCCGCGCCAGGCCAAGACGAAGCCCGGCCGAGCUGCUCAGCUAACACAGUUACCACCGCGCGGAGAAUGCCCUUCAAUCGGGAGAUUAAUGAAAAUAAAGACUCACGCUUGUGCCAGGCUUCCAGUCCUCCCUAUUGAGAAUGCUUUGCAUAUAUCCUCUCCUGCGACCUUCCCUCACAGCACUCAGAGGAAGAGCCACUCUCAGCUCCACUUGACUGUCGAGGAAACUGAGGUCCAAGGGCAUGCGCUACUAAAUGGUGAACACCCAUUUCCUGGAAGUUUCCAGAAUAAGGACAGCAGCUGUCAUUUACUGAGCACCGGCCUCACUGGAAACCUCACUGUUAUCGCUGGAUAUCAAAAAAAAUGCAUGAGCUAUCCUGGUUUUUCACCUGCUAAAUUAGCAAGGUAGAUACAACCAGGGUGUUACCACCAAAUCUUCUCAGGAGAGGGUGGGGAUGGGGUAGAGCUGGGUUUUUAAUUUGGAGCUAAAGUUGGUACCAAAGCCACAUUUUUGCACCCAGACCACAUGCCUCUCUGUGCUGAGACCUGUACAAGAGGCCGUGGGAGUACCAGCAGAGAGUUAUCAAGAGAGGCUCCCUAGAAGAAGGGAUAUUUGGACUGGGUCUUGAAAGAUGAGUAGGAGUUCACAAGAGGGCAGCAUGCUGCUAAGGUCAGAAUUCCCAAGGACAAGUCCUGACUUUCCCUCUUAACGGCUGAGUGAUUUUCACAAAAUUUGUUCACCUCUCUGAGCCUCAGUUUUUUCAUCUGCAAAAUGGGAAUAAUAGUCCUCAGGUCGUCUGGAUUGAGUGAGAUCACGGAAGUAUAAGUACUUGGUCAGCCAUCACUAGAGGAGUGGGAGGGUACGCU
ensembl:lncRNA